rnacentral:lncRNA from 1 species
GAGGGAGGCGCAGCGCGAGCAGGCUUACGGCAGCAGGCUUACGACAGCAGGCUUACGGCAGCAGGCUUACGGCAACAGGCAGACUAUGUUCUGUAAACAUCGUUGUAGUCCAUGACACAUAUAAUCGGCAGUGACACGUUGUUUUGCAUCCAUCAAUUUUGGGGUCAGAGUGGAAUAGAAAUGAAACCUCAAUAACGAUGGGGUACAAAACAACAACAACAACCUAUAAAAUAUGGCUCUGAGUAAGUAGAAAAGUUGUAUCAUCAGAGGGUUCUAUCGAAGUAAGUAACCUAGAUAUGAAAAUAAGGUUGAAAAUAUGGCAGUAGUACAUCAAUAGCACAUAUCUUGUUGAGGGCGUCACACUCUCUGUCACAGAGUUGGUGGUCGGAGUGGGAGUCAGCCCAAGUUUAAACUCUCUGUACCAUCAUUUAAAACAACGACAUACACCACUGAAUACAGGAGCUCUUAUGUUGGAUCAACAUCUCUGGUUGUAUCGUUUUUUUUUCUUUUUAGAGUAUUCCUCUUCUUGUUAGGCCAUUAUCUGUGGUUGGUGGGUUGGUUGGUAGGUGGGUUGGUUGGUAGGUGGGUUGGUUGGUUGGUAGGUGGGUUGGUUGGUAGGUGGGUUGGUUGGUAGGUGGGUUGGUUGGUAGGUGGGUGGGUUGGUUGGUUGGUAGGUGGGUUGGUGGGUUGGUAGGUGGGUUGGUUGGUUGGUAGGUGGGUUGGUGGGUUGGUAGGUGGGUGGGUGGGUGGGUUGGUAGGUGGGUGGGUUGGUUGGUAGGUGGGUUGGUUGGUUGGUAGGUGGGUUGGUUGGUGGGUUGGUUGGUUGGUUGGUAGGUAGGUAGGUAGGUUGGUUGGUAGGUGGAUUGGUUGGUUGGUAGGUGGGUUGGUUGGUAGGUAGGUAGGUUGGUUGGUAGGUGGGUGGGUGGGUUGGUAGGUGGGUUGGUUGGUUGGUUGGUUGGUAGGUGGGUGGGUGGGUUGGUAGGUGGGUGGGUUGGUUGGUAGGUGGGUUGGUUGGUUGGUAGGUAGGUGGGUGGGUGGGUUGGUAGGUGGGUGGGUUGGUGGGUUGGUUGGUGGGUUGGUGGGUUGGUUGGUAGGUGGGUUGGUUGGUAGGUGGGUUGGUUGGUUGGUUGGUUGGUUGGUUGGCAGGUAGGUGGGUUCAUUGGUAGGUGGGUUGGUUGGUAGGUGGGUUGGUUGGUAGGUGGGUUGACCCUAGAGGACAUGUGGGGAUGUGUUGUGUCCCUAUGCUAGCAGGCUAGCCUCUAAUGGUUGCAUCUCCCAGAGGCAUUGUGGGAGAGAUCGAUAGUCCUUUGUCACUCUGAAGCAGACACAGUGACACUCGAUAACGACACACACAGUCAAGCUGUAGCUAACAGGAACAAGCCCAACGCCCUUUCGUCAACAGUGAAAAAAGAGCUGUACAUUUGCCUUGUUAAGGUACAGAUCAGAAUGUAUUCAUUUUUUGUUUUUUUUAUAUGUGGAAAAAAGGAGUGACAGACUAAAGAAAAAACAAUUACCCAUUUCUGUCUUAUACACAGGAAAAGGUAGGUCCUAACCCCGACAAAUAAUGACUCCCAAAACCAUCUCUAAAUUCCCAUUAUAUUUAACAUGGC